UACAGAGGUCUCAAGCGUUGUUCGGAAUUACUGGGCGUAAAGGGUGCGCAGGCUGCGCGGCAAGUCAAAUGUGAAAUUCAGGGGCUCAACCCUGCAUUGCGCUUGAUACUUCCGCGCUCGAGCCUUGGAAAGGAGUCUGGAAUUCUCGGUGUAGCAGUGAAAUGCGUAGAUAUCGAGAGGAACACUAAGGGCGAAGUCAAGACUCUGGACAAGUGCUGACGCUCAUGCACGAAGGCUAGGGUAGCGAACGGG
rnacentral:rRNA from 1 species